CUACAUGAUGCGGUAAUUUGCGAUUGACCCGAUGUCUGUGAAGCUCUCGCCGGAGUUUCUAUACAGCAUUGGCGCAUGAUAUUUAUUUCUUACAUAUUCUGAUA
rnacentral:snoRNA from 1 species